UACGGAGGGAGCUAGCGUUGUUCGGAAUUACUGGGCGUAAAGCGCACUAGGCGGCUUUGUAAGUUAGAGGUGAAAGCCCGGGGCUCAACCCCGGAAUUGCCUUUAAGACUGCAUCGCUUGAAUCCGGGAGAGGUGAGUGGAAUUCCGAGUGUAGAGGUGAAAUUCGUAGAUAUUCGGAAGAACACCAGUGGCGAAGGCGGCUCACUGGACCGGUAUUGACGCUGAGGUGCG
rnacentral:rRNA from 1 species